rnacentral:rRNA from 1 species
CCUACGGGGGGCUGCAGUAAGGAAUAUUGGUCAAUGGACGCAAGUCUGAACCAGCCAUGCCGCGUGGAGGAUGAAGGUCCUCUGGAUUGUAAACUUCUUUUAUUUGGGAAGAAACCCACGAUUUCUAUUGUGGUUGACGGUACCAGAUGACUAAGCACCGGCUAACUCCGUGCCAGCAGCCGCGGUAAUACGGAGGGUGCAGGCGUUAUCCGGAUUCACUGGGGUGAAGGCGUGCGUGGACGUCCAUGGUGAAAUCCCCGAGCUUAACUUGGGAACUGCCGGUGAUACUAUCUGUCUUGAAUACUGUGGAGGUAAGCGGAAUAUGUCAUGUAGCGGUGAAAUGCUUAGAUAUGACAUAGAACACCUAUUGCGAAGGCAGCUUGCUACACAGUCAUUGACGCUGAGGCACGAAAGCGUGGGGAUCAAACAGGAUUAGAUACCCCAGUAGUC